GGAGGAACUGCAGUCAUAAGUGAGUUCAGUUCUAAAAUGUUACAAUUUCCAUAAAAAACUUUAAGCCUAAUUGAUAAUUUUUACCUUUGUUGCAGUUUAUCAAUGUUGAUAACUCUUGAUAAUAAGUAAAACUACAAAUUUGUACGUUAUGGUUUCAUUUAACUUUUUAAAUCUGCAAACUACAUCUUUAGAGCAUGUUUUUAACUUGAUGUACCCACAGCCACCAUGACAGACACCAAGCAGCCCAUUAUCCACUGUACUACGCUCAGCAGCAGGAUCAAGGCAGGGAGUCCAGUUACUGGACGGCACCAGGGCCGAGGACUGAAGGGGCUCUAGAAGAAUACGCCGCCUGGACGGACCCAGAGCUGUCGGCCCCCACUUCACCCCGGUUCCCCUUCAUCCUGGACCGUCGCACCCAGCAGCACCAGUACCGCGGCGAGUAUCGCUCUCACGACGCCAGAGACAGCGAGUGGACGGCGGCUCAGCGGGCGGCGAGGGACUACGAGGGGGGGCUUCUGAGGGAGGCGUGGCAGAGGCGCUGGGAGCCCUGCGGUCCGGCCCGGCCCAACAGGGAGGCUUCUGCCAGGAGGAGCGACAGCAGCUACAGAGAGCUGGAGGCCUGGGCCGCGCGCUACUGCCACUCGCUGCCAAGGAGACGGCGUUUGGAGGCAGAGUUACGCGGCGCCGCCCAGGGCCUGCUGGAGGGCAGGACGGGGACAGACCCGCGGGCGGCGGCGCUGCUGCUGCAACUCAGACAGUCUGCAAACGUCAGAGAGUCGGGAUUGUGGGAUGCUGGAGGCCGAAUGCAAACUCCAACUUAUUAUCAGCCACAAGCUACGUCCCAUAAUACAGGCCGCACGUUGGAGGUUAAAGACCCGACAGGCGUCCAAAGGAGGAUGUUCAGUCAUCCUCCGGGCUACGCGGCUCCCCCUCCUUACAGCGACCCACACAAAAGCACGCCUGCAGCGAAGCACCGCGUCACCGGCUGGGAGCAGGAAGGCAGCAGGCAAAGCUGCUGGCCUCAACCCGCACUCAGAGAGGAGGCGCGCGACGAGCUGCAGCGUGAGCGGAAGGGAGAGAGAGAGGAGUGCACGAAGCCAGGUGACGGCACAACCUGUGCAGAGCUGGACGGAACGAAGCGCAGAAGACAGGAAGCGGAAGCCUCGCAGGGAGCGGGUCCGGUUCACGGCCACGCCUUCUCCCUUCCACAGAAACAAACUUCUGAUGCGGUUGGCAACACACAGACAUCCUCUAAGAUCAUUGAAGGCAGAAAAUUCAGGCUGAACAAAAGAACCGGUGGGAUGACCGUGUUCUGCCUGGUGUCCCGGAUAGCCGGCGCCACGGAAACGCCGUCCCUGCCUCUCUGCAUCGCUCAGACCAGCGCUCAGACCAGCGCUCAGACCAGCGCUCAGACCAGCGCUGAGGCUUCCAAGGCUUCACAGGACGGCGAUGACAGUCACCCCGACCUCGCUGAUGAGGUGGACUUCAAAGUGUCAGAGAAGUCAAAUACUGACAUUACAAGCUCCAAACAGAGCGAGUUGCUUCACGAUAAUCCAUCGAACACCCAAGAAGCGAGAGUCGCCCCAGAAAGAGAUUUACCUGAUGCAAAUUCCUCAUUUGGGAAGGAAUCAAAACAGCCGGUGUCGGUCAAAUAUCCUCUAUGGAGAGAACCGGGUUUCACAAGCAGGGCUGACGCAGCGUCUUCAGCUACUUCCUGUUUAAAGGUACAAAGUGAGGGCGGCAGGGCGGAUGGUCCACUCAGCCAGCAGCGCGCUCCUCCAGACGAGCCCCGAGCACAGAGACCGGACCUUAAGGACCCAGAAUCUGAGGGCAGUAAAGCUCUCUGGGUUAUCGACACCAGCUGUGUUGUGGUCAAAAUGGAGCUGAUUCCAUCACCAAAGAAAGAUCACGUUCACUAUGUAGCCAACCAAGCAGAAACGGAUUCCCCCGAAUCAAACAGUCAGGUCACAACCACUGACCGAACCACAGAGAGAACAUCCUCCCAAAUAAAUGACAGGCCUGAGCUACAUUGCGUGUCCACAGCUUCGGUGUGUGAGACCUUGGAGGAGCGCGCUCAAAGGAUUUUAGGACUCCCGCUGUGUGACUGCAUCGCUGAGCAGCAGCCCGGAGAAGACGAGGAGGAUGAGGAGGAUGAGGAGGCCGAGCCUUCGCCGGGACUCCUUCCUGAAGCAGCUGGGUUUAUCCCAGAGGAGACGGCGGGAGAGGAACCGCCACAGAAUCACGUGGAGGUGGGGCCCACGGACGACGCUGAAGAUCGAGGAACAAACGAGAACGACGGGGAAUUUGUAGGAUCUCAGGAUCAGCCGUGUCUAACUACUGAAACAGAGGAAACUCAAAUGACUGAGGGCGUCCAGCUCGACUCUGCUACUGGACCCGAUGACCCUGAGCAGCUUGUUGAAAGCGAUUCCCCCGCUCAGCAUCAUCUCUUCAGUUCUCCUGAAGACCUCUCUGAUUCCCCCCCUCUCUCACACACGUCUGACUCGCCUCAGGACAACUCAGAAUUGGCUGCACUUGUUGAAGCUGGAACCCCAACAUCCCCUCACACAGCGCUGGACCUGGUCCCUCUUCCCCCAGAAUCCAGUCCCUGCACAGAUCAUUCCCCAAGCCUUCCUCCUCCUCCUCUUCACUUAAUAGACGAGUGUCUGGAAGCAGAACCCACAGUUACACAUGAGGAUGAACCGUCACAGCUAGUAGAGAAUAAGUUUAACGGUGCCCUUGAGGACUUUGCAAAAGAUAUGACGUCAGAGCAACCUGGAAAUGACCAGCCAGAAGAAAGCAACGCCACCGGGGAGCAACAAUCAAAGGAUGUAGAGCCUAGACAUGCUUCGGAACAAGCGUAUGACACAUCCAAUGAACACAUUCAAAGUCUUGUGUCUGAAGAGCAAACGCAAAGAGAAAGUCCUACUGUGUUUCUCGAAACGACAACAGACCAGGAUGACAGGCCUGACAGCCAGUCAGAAAGAGAAGGACAGGAUGCUACCUGUGCGAAGGAGAAUAUUGAGGCUGAGGAACAGUCACAAACAGAUGCGGGUGAUGAUCCUGCAGAAUGUUUAGCACAGAAAACCUCCCAGGCCCGCGUGACGGCGCCUCAGACUCAUCCUUCGGGCUCAGACCGUGACGCGCUCCACUCCGCGCCUCCGUCCGCUUCCUGUCAGUCACACAAAGCAGACGCCGAGCCCGUUUCGCUAAUUCCUGGCCCUGCUGUUCCUGAAAGUGUCCCCGCUCCCGAUUUAGACCAGAUUAAUGAAUUUUCAUCCUCCCGUCUCCCCGAUUCACCCUCAAAUCCGCCUUUAGGCUUUGCUCCGCCGUCUCAACAGGAUGAUGAGAGCGCUCCUCUUGACUUGCCUCACAAAGGCGAGCCCCAGCAUCCCACGUCCCUGUGGGAUGCAGUAAAUCGCAUACGGAAACACACGGCACCUGAUUCUGAGAACGAAGAGGAGGAAGUAAGUGAACCGUGGGACCCUGAGAGUUUAGGAGAGCGUUCAGGUUGGUCGGACGACAGGAACGCAAAGAAGAUGGGGUUUGAUGAAGUACAGCAACAGGAAGUAUCAAGUGAAGGAAGCGUUGAGGACGUAGACGUGGGUCAAAUCCAGCAGGACGAAUGCCACGAAGAGCCAAGAGGACACACAGAGGACACGCUGUCCUGCAGCAGCGCCAGCAGCCACACCUCUGAGGACACCGUCAUCGUGGCAGAGGAGGACAAGGCUCAAGAGACAACACCUGAUGGGGGAACAGAAAGCGAGACCGACGUGGAGCUUCAUACGACUGACGCAGCGAGAAGAUGCUGCCGUGACUCAGAAGAAGAGACUGUUGACGAGGAAGACGAAGAGGAGCAGCUAAAAGGUAAAGCAUGA
rnacentral:lncRNA from 1 species